rnacentral:rRNA from 1 species
ACACGUAAGUAACCUACCUUUCAGACGAGGAUAACAGUUGGAAACGACUGCUAAGACUGGAUAGGAAGUUUUAAGGCAUCUUGAAACUUUUAAAAGACCCGCAAGGGUAUGCUGAGAGAUGGGCUUGCGGCACAUUAGUUAGUUGGUAAGGUAACGGCUUACCAAGACCAUGAUGUGUAGCUGGACUGAGAGGUUGAACGGCCACAUUGGGACUGAGAUACGGCCCAAACUCCUACGGGAGGCAGCAGUAAGGAAUUUUCGGCAAUGGAGGAAACUCUGACCGAGCAACGCCGCGUGAACGAUGAAGUAUUUAGGUAUGUAAAGUUCUUUUAUUAAAGAAGAAAAAAUGAUGGAAAAAUCAUUCUGACGGUAUUUAAUGAAUAAGCCCCGGCUAACUAUGUGCCAGCAGCUGCGGUAAUACAUGGGGGGCAAGCGUUAUCCGGAUUUAUUGGGCGUAAAGGGUGCGUAGGCGGUUUAAUAAGUCUAUGGUCUAAGUUCAACGCUUAACGUUGUGAUGCUAUAGAAACUGUUUGACUAGAGUUGGAUAGAGGCAAGUGGAAUUCCAUGUGUAGCGGUAAAAUGCGUAAAGAUAUGGAGGAACACCAGUAGCGAAGGCGGCUUGCUGGGUCUUAACUGACGCUGAGGCACGAAAGCGUGGGGAGCAAACAGGAUUAGAUACCCUGGUAGUCCACGCCGUAAACGAUGAGUACUAAGUGUUGGGUUAAACCAGUGCUGAAGUUAACGCAUUAAGUACUCCGCCUGAGUAGUACGUACGCAAGUAUGAAACUUAAAGGAAUUGACGGGACUCCGCACAAGCGGUGGAUCAUGUUGUUUAAUUCGAAGAUACACGAAAAACCUUACCAGGUCUUGACAUACUCUGCAAAGCUAUAGAAAUAUAGUGGAGGUUAUCAGGGAUACAGGUGGUGCAUGGUUGUCGUCAGCUCGUGUCGUGAGAUGUUGGGUUAAGUCCCGCAACGAGCGCAACCCUUAUCGCUAGUUACCAUCAUUUAGUUGGGCACUUUAGUGAGACUGCCAAUGAUAAAUUGGAGGAAGGUGGGGAUUACGUCAAAUCAUCAUGCCCCUUAUGACCUGGGCUACAAACGUGAUACAAUGGCUGUUACAAAGAGUAGCUGAAGCGUGAGUUUUUAGCAAAUCUCAAAAAAACAGUCUCAGUUCGGAUUGAAGUCUGCAACUCGACUUCAUGAAGUCGGAAUCGCUAGUAAUCGCGAAUCAGCAUGUCGUGGUGAAUACGUUCUCGGGGUUUGUACACACCGCCCGUCAAACCAUGAAAGUUGACAAUACCCGAAACCAGUAGCCUAACU